rnacentral:lncRNA from 10 species
UUAUGAUAUUUUGUUAUAUCAGCUGAAUGGACUAAGACAUAGAGCAUUACAAAGACUCACAACAAAAGGAAAAUAGGAAUAAAAUGUCAUGUGUUCCUGACUUGUGUUUGAGUCAUAUUCAACAGUAGCAAGCCAAGCACAGUCCCACUCAAUUCACCACUGUCGUGAAUAAAAACUUCUUGUAGCUGGCACAUAUGUCAUUUCUAAGUAUGUGUCUUACUAUGUAAAAAAUGUAUAAGCCUAUGUUAAACUUCAGAUUUUCUUU